rnacentral:misc_RNA from 1 species
ACUCAAAAAAAGAAACGCUUUGAUGUUUAAAACCUUGAAAGCCUAGUACUACUGACUUUGCAUCAAAAGAACUCUAUUGCAACAAUAUACAAGUCUUAAAAGACAAGAAUAUCUAGAAAUUCCAUGUAUCAAGAAAUGUGAUCAAAAUAGUGAGAAAGGAAUAUAAUACGGGAAUUUCAACCCACUUAACCAAGCUUAUCUAGCAACUCCUAGCAUAUUUCAUAUUUGGUUAUCUAAAGCUAGCGCAAAAUUCAAUCGAUACAGAUGCACUGAUUAAUCUUCAAGUGACAUUCCUCACUCUUUGGCAGCCAUACAAUCUAUAAGCAUGCUCACAAUUGCUUAUGUCCAGCGUGAUGAUGAGGGAUUUUGCAGCUAAGUAUAUCAUUCCUCAAAGGUCAAUCUUAAGAAAAUAGGUCAGACCUAACUCACCCCCAAAAGCUA